rnacentral:rRNA from 1 species
ACACGUAGGGGCCUGACGUUGUUCGGAAUCAUUGGGCGUAAAAGGCGCGCAGGCGGCCGUCCAAGUCCGGUGUUAAAUGGUCGGGCUCAACCCGAUCAUGCGCUGGAAACUGGGCGGCUGGAGUCCCGGAGGGGAUGCCGGAAUUCCAGGUGUAGGGGUGAAAUCUGUAGAUAUCUGGAAGAACACCGAUGGCGAAGGCAGGCAUCUGGCCGGAGACUGACGCUGAGGCGCGAAGGCGCGGGGAGCGAACAGGUUUAGAUACCCUGGUAGUCCGCGCAGUAAACGAUGCGCACCAGGUGUCGGGCGGCAGCGCCCGGUACCGGAGCAAACGCGAUGAGUGCGCCGCCUGGGGAGUAUGCCCGCAAGGGUGAAACUCAAAUGAAUUGGCGGGG